UACCAGCACCCCGAGUGGUCGGGACGAUUAUUGGGCCUAAAGCAUCCGUAGCCGGUCCUACAAGUCUUCCGUUAAAUCCACCUGCUUAACAGAUGGGCUGCGGAAGAUACUAUAGGGCUAGGAGGCGGGAGAGGCAAGCGGUACUCAGUGGGUAGGGGUAAAAUCCUCUGAUCCAUUGAAGACCACCAGUGGCGAAGGCGGCUUGCCAGAACGCGCUCGACGGUGAGGGAUGAAAGCUGGGGGAGCAAACCUGG
rnacentral:rRNA from 1 species